UCUCAGCCCCACCCACCUCACAGGGUGUUUGUUGUGAGGGAAGAAGGGAAAGGAGUUUGUUAGCCCCUUUGAGUCUCCUUGCAGGAGAGAAAGGGGGGAUAUAAAUCCAACUCUUCUUCUUAUGAAAAGCAACCAUAAGCAUAGGGAAAGGUGUCAAAGGGAAAGGUGAUGCUCACCAAGUUAAUUUCCAAAUAAAUUAGACUUAAUCAUUAUUGUCGGCUUCGUUUUUGCAGAAAAGAGGAACAGCACACUGACUCUUCGUGUGCCUUCAUUAGUCCUUUGUGACUAGCAAAGGCUUUGCUUCAGCCCUUAAAUGCGCUGCCUCAGGACACAUUCACCCACUGCCCCGUGGUGAAUCCUUCUGCAUUCUGCAACCCUGACUGUUCAUGCUUCUUCCACACGUUUUGGGUCUUCUCAACUGCAUUUCUUGCACAUAAGAACUGGAGCCUUUUUCGUUCAGAUUGAGGUGAAGGGGGAAGGUGCCAUGCUAUGCUACAUUAAAAGGUGAAAAGAAUUCUGUGUUUCUGGGGCUUUAAAAAAACAAGAGUUUGCCUGCACUUAACAUAACUUAUCCUCUGUCCAUCAAUUGUGUAUGCUCAGAAUCAUAAUUCCUGAUUUUUCAGAAUUGAAGCCAUAUUGCUAGCCAUUUUUGAGUAGUAAUUCUGGAACUAUAAAUGUUUAAACUUCUCCAUGAAAAAGGGAAUCAGAAGUGUAUUCAGUGAGAUGUAAUUGGGUACGCAGAAUCAUUUUUAAAAUUUGAAAUGGGCAUCCUUCUUGGAAUUCAGUUAACAGCUAGAAGCAGUAACCUUGCCUCUAUUGAACCUUUAUUGUUGACGUGGUUGCAAGGGUCCAUUUCAAGUGUAUGAGUGCAUUAUGUCUUCCUUGCUCUAGGAACAAUGUACAAUGUACUACAUAUGGACUGAAACAAUCUUUACAGCAUCCUUUUUUAAAAAAAAUCAUUUUAAUACAAAUGCAUAUUUCCCAGCCAGUGCCAUGGAAGCUCCCUGUGUGACCUUGGGCCAGUCAUACUCUUUCAGCCUACCUCACAGGGUUGUUGUGAGGAUGAAAUGGGAGGAGAGGUGAAUGAUAUAAGCCGCUUCGAGUCCCUCUGAGGUGAUAGAUGGGGGACUAAUGAAGUAAAUAAGAUAAAAAUAAAUAAAAAAAUUACCUGUGUGGUGCACCCAAAAUUAAAAUUCAUGCUACAUCUUUGAUAGUGCUUUCAUAGGCUGUUCUCAUUUUGCUCACCAUUUGUGAAUGUAAAAUUUGAAGUAAAAUAUGCAUUAUAAAUGCGAACAGGGAUUUCAAAAGAAUCAUCUAAGUAAUAAGAAAGCGCUAAAGAGGCAAAGUGUGCUGCUGAAUUGCAGCCACCUCCUGGCGACCCCUAAGAAGUUUUACCUCGUGGAGAUUUUAAACCAAGAAAUGAGCAGAGGUGGUUUGCCAUUGCUUCCUUCUGCAUAGCAGCCCUUUUUUUCCUUGCAGGUGCUCUGAUGAAAUGAAGUUAGUUUGAGCUGUUAGGGCUGCUGCAGGUAACAGGAGCUAAAGUUUUAUAUAGUUGAACAUUUUUUGAGGGCCCAGAGUAACUGAGAACGGAAACAGACUGACAUAUUAAGAUUCUUGAUGAAAUUAGAAACUUGCUGUGAUGUGCAAAGAGUUCAUAGACUCUUGUUGCCAAGUAAUAAAAUCACUGCUUAAUUUCUAAAGAACGUAGUCUUCUGGCCAUAUUUCAAUUAUGUAAAUAAGAGAAAUGCUGCAGAAAUAGUGUUAAGUCAUGUUAUUUAUGUUUACAAAUGGAAUACAAUCGUAUUGCAACAGAGCCUUCACAGAGUUUGAUAAGCGAGUUGGAAGAAGGCGUUCAUGUCUUGCUUAUUUUUGAGCAAAUGCAACUUGGGUAAAGUUUGUACACAGAAAUCUUUUAAGAACGUUAACUUUUCAAACUGCCUUCAUGCCAGAAUUUAUGAAGAAUCAAACAGCACAGGGGUACCUCUGGUAAACUAAUUCAAAAAGAUUUUUUAAAAUGGCUUUUCAUUGUGUUUAUCCCCUUUAAUGCUCAAAGUGGCGCUUAGAUACUGGUAAUUCCUACGCCCAUCUGAGUCUAGGGAUCUCUUGUCAUAACAUUUCAUAACCUAAAGGAUGUUCUGAUCAAAAGAGCCUGUUUAUAGUACUGUUUUAAAGGCUAGCUUUCCCCCCUUCUAGAACGGGUUGCAAACCCCUGUUCUAGAACUAUAGUGUUAUGGGGUGUCCAUUACCAAAAGAUUCACUUUCCUGGAAAUCCGCUUAUCCUUAAUGCUCAACACAAUCAGAGGCUGGGCAUAGGUACAAAACAAAGUGGUGGAAGUCCACAUUAUUUUUAAGUUGGACGGAUUGCUGUAUUAAAACCACUUUUGGUCCUUGAAAGAGAAGGGUGAUCCACAUUUUCUUUUUUGAAACAGUUUUAUUAAGACUUUAAGGACAUCACACCAGAGGAAAGAAGCUAAACAAACCAAAACCAGACAAAUCCCCAAAAAGGGAAAGAGACCAAAAUACAUUUUAAAAAAACUUUUAAAAGGACUCCCAAUUUCAUCCACACCAAAGUAUAAACACUUAAAAGUUUACUACAUGCUCCAAAUUAGUUCUUAACUAUUACUAAUAAGGUUCACACCUAAUAUGUACUUGUUCUCUACUGAUCCAUAUUUUUAACUGAUAAUUAAGGAGGCAGCAAGACCACCUGGGAAAUCUGAGCUUGUGAGCUGACACUUGUCUAGACACUAUUAAGUAGGCAUAAUUACAACAGUUGUAAUCUGACAAAGGGAGCUUUGGCUCUCAAAAGCUGACGCCCAAAAAAUCUUGUUAGUUAAGGUACUACUGCACUUGAGUCUAGCUGAAACUGACAGUCUAAAGAGUGAGUAUCUUGGAUUCUGAAAAGCAGUUGGAUGUGUUCAACAAUUUUCUAGUUACCCAAGGUGCUCAUUGCUACUUGAGAAGGUUCCGUACUUUUAGGGGGUCAAAGUAAUGGGAGAAAGUUGUGCAUGCAUGUCUGUCAUAUAAUGACUUGCAUGUGAAAAUUAGUCACUGCAAAUAUCCCCCUUCCUCAUGCCUUAUAAUAAUACAUCCUUAAAUACAGUUCUUCCAGUGGGUUUAGUUCCCAAGUUGUACUGUAUGCUUCUGGUGAGGUAUCAUAGCUUACAGGUAGAGCACUAGGAUGCAAAAAAGUCUAGUUUUUAUGUCGGUCUACUGUGCAAGAUCUAGCUAAGGUAGCCAGUGUGGUGUUCUGGUUGAGUGUUGUACUAGGAUGUUGGAGACCUGGGUUUGAAUCCCUGCUUGUGCCAUGGAAGUUUGCUUGGUGAUCUUGGGCCUGCUUCACAGGGUUUUUGUGAAGAUUGAAUGGAGGAAAGGAGAACGACAUUUUUGGGGUCUCCACUGGGGAGAAAAGUAGAGUACAAAAUUAAAGUAUUAUAGUUGUUACCUGGUCCUUCCUCUGAGAUAGUCAGAAGGGCAUACAUCAGGGAUCUUCAAACUAUGGCCCUCCAGAUGUUCAUAGACUACAAUUCCGAUGAGCCCUACCACUUGGCCAUGCUGGCAGGGGCUGAUGGGAAUUGUAGUCCAUGAACAUCUGGAGGGCCAUAGUUUGAAGACCCCUGGCAUGCAUAAAGUUCUCUCUCAUUUUAUCCUUACAAUAACUCUGUGGGGUGGUUUAGGCUGAAAGACUGCAGUUAGUCCCAGGUCAUACAGGGAACCACAUGGCUGAGCAGGGAUUUGAACUUGCCUCCUUGGCCUGAUGAACAAUCAGGCUCAUGAUAUCACAACUUCAUUAAGAGAUAUCAGCAAAAAACCACACUGCCAUUAACACUGCAAUCCUAAACAGAGUUAUGUCCUUCUAAACCCUACGGCCUUGAGUGUGAUGCUGUUUGUGUUAAAUAAGCUGGGAUGUGAACUAGACAAACUCAGGAUGACACAUAACUGUUAGGAAAUACCUUAGUAAUUUUGAGAAGUGUCAGAGGAAAUCUGCCUUUUUUUUGUACAGUGAAACUUAGUACUGUCAAUUCAAAGUGCUGUCAAUUCGAAACGGACUUAUGGUAACCCUGUAUGGUUUUCAAAGCAAGAGACAAAUAGAGGUGGUUGGUCAUUGCCUGUCUCUGUGUCGCAACCACGGACUUCCUUGGUAGUCCCCCAUCCAAGUAUUGACCAGGGCCAGCCCUUCUUAGCUGCCAUGAUCCAAUGAGAUAGAGCUAGCCCGGACCAUCCAACAUCUUGCUACAGAAGAUCUAUGCUACAGAAGAUGAUGUAUGCUAUGAUACAGAUCUAUGCUACAGAAGAUGAGAGGGCAAGUGAUGGACCAUCCUAUACCUGCCCUGAGUUCAGUUGGAUUUGACCCUUCCCAGCUUCAGCAGCUACAUCAUGGCAGAGUGCUGAGAAGAGUGUGGCAAGUUGUUUUCUAUUUUGACUUAAUUUUUGUAUACUGUUGUCAAGUGUAUCUUAACUCUCCUGUUAAUGUAAAGAAGGUAUACAAUUUUUUUAGAAACACAAUAAAAACUAUAGUGGUUUAAUAUGUUAAA